rnacentral:rRNA from 1 species
UUCCGGUUGAUCCUGCCGGAGGCUACCGCUAUUGGAGUUCGAUUAAGCCAUGCGAGUCGCGAGAAAUUAGAUUCUCGGCGUACCGCUCAGUAACACGUGGGUAACCUGCCCUAUGCUGGAUAAUAACCUCGGGAAACUGAGAAUAAUGAUCCAUAGUUCACUACGCCUGGAACGGUGAGUGGAUGAAAGCUCCGGCGGCAUAGGAUGGGCCUGCGGCGUAUCAGGUUGUAGGGGGUGUAACGUACCCUCUAGCCCUCUACGCGUACGGGUGUUGGGAGACAUAGCCCGGAGAUGGAUUCUGAGACACGAAUCCAGACCCUACGGGGUGCAGCAGGCGCGAAAACUUGGCAAUGCGAGAAAUCGUGACCAGGGAACUCCAAGUGCAUCGGGUAAGACCGAUGCUUUUCUAGACUCUAAAAAGGUCUUGGAAUAAGAGGUGGGUAAGGACGGUGCCAGCCGCCGCGGUAAUACCGGCGCCUCAAGUGGUAGUCGCUUUUAUUGGGCCUAAAACGUCCGUAGCCGGUCUGAUACAUUCGUGGGUAAAUCAACCAGCUUAACUGGUUGAAUUCUGCGAGGACGGUCAGACUUGGGACCGGGAGAGGUGUGGGGUACGCUCAGGGUAGGGGUAAAAUCCUGUCAUCCUGAGCGGACCACCUGUUGCGAAGGCGCCACACUAGAACGGAUCCGACGGUCAGGGACGAAGCCUAGGGGCACGAACCGGAUUAGAUACCCGGGUAGUCCUAGGUGUAAACGCUGUGGACUUGAUGUUGGGGGUGCUCCGAGCACUCUCAGUGUCGAAGCGAAGGUGAUAAGUCCACUGCCUGGGAAGUACGGUCGCAAGGCUGAAACUUAAAGGAAUUGGCGGGGGAGCACCGCAACCUGAGGAUUGUGCGGUUUAAUUGGAUUCAACGCCGGA